GACGAACGCUGGCGGCGUGCCUAAUACAUGCAAGUCGAGCGGACGAAUCGAAAGCUUGCUUUUGAUUCGUUAGCGGCGGACGGGUGAGUAACACGUGGGCAACCUGCCCUGUAGACGGGGAUAACACCGAGAAAUCGGUGCUAAUACCGGAUAACACGAAAUGUCGCAUGACGUUUCGUUGAAAGACGGCGCAAGCUGCCGCUACAGGAUGGGCCCGCGCCGCAUUAGCUAGUUGGUGAGGUAACGGCUCACCAAGGCGACGAUACGUAGCCGACCUGAGAGGGUGAUCGGCCACACUGGGACUGAGACACGGCCCAGACUCCUACGGGAGGCAGCAGUAGGGAAUCUUCCGCAAUGGACGAAAGUCUGACGGAGCAACGCCGCGUGAGCGAAGAAGGCCUUCGGGUCGUAAAGCUCUGUUGUUAGGGAAGAACAAGUAACGCAGUAACUGGCGUUACCGUGACGGUACCUAACGAGAAAGCCACGGCUAACUACGUG
rnacentral:rRNA from 1 species